UACAGAGGUCCCGAGCGUUGUUCGGAUUCAUUGGGCGUAAAGGGUGCGUAGGCGGUCUGCUAAGUUUGAUGUGAAAUCCCGGGGCUCAACCCUGGAAUGGCAUUGAAUACUGGUGGACUAGAGUACUGGAGAGGAAACUGGAAUUUACGGUGUAGCAGUGAAAUGCGUAGAGAUCGUAAGGAAGACCAGUGGUGAAGGCGAGUUUCUGGACGGUAACUGACGCUGAGGCACGAAGGCCAGGGGAGCAAACGGG
rnacentral:rRNA from 1 species